GCUCAGCCUCAGCCUCUGUUUACACGUGGGGAUAGAUUGUCACCUACAGAGUAACCACCAGGACAAGAGAUCCACUGAGCAGCAAGUUGGGGCCAGGAUGAGCUGUUGAAAGUCUUGUUCAAGAAACUUGCAGUUCAACAUAACCUUGGCCAACACUUUGUUUUAGGCUGUUUUUAUCAACACUGUCAAGAAGCGGAAGAGCCAAGGGGGUCCUCAUUCAGCUUUCUGAAAUGCCUGGAAUGGGACGAGAAGUGCUAUGCAGCUGGGGGUCUUACCCAGGGGGCAUUGAGAUGAACUGUGAGUUUCAGGUGUGUCGCUGAGGCCAGAGGAGUGUGUGUGUUUUCUGUCCCUCCUGGAACACGGCUCCCAGGGUGAUGAUUAGCGUAUUCUUGUAUUUCUCAAAGCAACCCCACAGCAUCUGGCACAGAGCACAUUCUAAUCAGUGUAUGUACCAAUCACAGGAAUUAGCAGUUGAUUAUCAACUGUAUCUCACCUGAAAGAAUGAACCUAAUGGUGUCACGUAGAGCUCAGAGGUGGUAAUAAAAUGUGUGACUUUGC